AACGAACGCUGGCGGCAGGCCUAAAACAUGCAAGUCGAACGAACCUUCGGGUUAGUGGCGCACGGGUGAGUAACACGUGGGAAUGUACCUCUUGGUGCGGAAUAACGUAGGGAAACUUACGCUAAUACCGCAUAAUAUCUACGGAUCAAAGAUUUAUCGCCAAGAGAUCAGCCCGCGCUAGAUUAGGUAGUUGAUGAGGU
rnacentral:rRNA from 1 species